rnacentral:rRNA from 1 species
UACGUAGGGGGCUAGCGUUGUCCGGAAUCAUUGGGCGUAAAGAGCGCGUAGGCGGCUGGAAUAGUCCGGUGUGAAAUCCACAGGCUUAACCUGUGAAUGCCGCUGGAAACUGUCUGGCUAGAGUCCGGAAGGGGCGAGUGGAAUUCCUGGUGUAGCGGUGAAAUGCGCAGAUAUCAGGAGGAACACCGGUGGCGAAGGCGGGUCUCUGGGCAGUAACUGACGCUGAGGAGCGAAAGCGUGGGGAGCGAACAGG